CGCGCGGGCGGAUAGCGCCCAAGGUUUCUCUCCUCUUUCCCGCCCGAUACGCGCUCCCUCCCCCCGCCCGCCGCCUUCUCAGCCUCCGCGCGGGCGCCUCACGCCGUGACAGCCCAAGAACACAACGCCGGAACGCAUCUCUAGGCAGCCCGCCCCCACGCGACAUCCGUCACCUGACACGGCCAAACCAGGAACCGCCGCGGCCCGGCGGCUCCCAGUCCCGCUCGCGUCCCCGCUGCCCCGGACCCCUGCCUUUAUUUCUCACGCCCCUCGCCGAGGGGCUUCCACUGCUGCAAACCAGAGAGAGAAAAGGAAAAGGAAAGCAAGGUCAUCUCGUCGCUCUAUCCGCCAUUCAGUUUGAAAGAAAUGGCGCUCCGCUCCGCUUCUACAUUUGGGAGACCGGCGAAAUUAAGGGAAGCCGCUGCGUGCGGCCGACGCGACAUCUGGACACUGCGUGGCGCUGGCGCCGCUGGAGCGGCGGGCCGGCCGCCUGAUCAGAAGGACAUGGAGCCGGGGGAGCAGAGGGGAAAGGAUAAAAGCAAUUUACAGCAAGGAUCUCUCAGUAUCACUUGCUGACUUCAAUUCGAAGAUGAUUUUUUCUGGGGCCGGCCCGGUGGUGCAGCGGUUAAGUGCCCACGUUCUGCUUCGGGCAGCCCGGGGUUCACCGGUUUGGAUCCCUGGUGUGGACAUGGCACCG